CUUCUUGUUUCUCUUUUUCGAAUCUUCUCACCGCCGAUCGCCCAUGAACGAUGUCGCCGCCGAUGCCACCGUCCACCAAAACUUUAUCGUCCCUCCCUCCGACCUUUGCUUCGUUCUCGACUCCUCUUCUCAUCUGAUCUCUGAUAUGGUUGGAUUUCCUUCCAGCUCCGGGUGGUGAUCAAGGGGCGUUCUUUGGAGAUUGGACGGUCCAGACCACCCGGGAGCUCGGUCCGCAACCGAGGGGACGGAUCCGUCGAGGCCCUCUUCUCCGGCGACCCCUCCGCGGUCGACCAGAUGGUCGAGAGACGCUGCAGGGUGGGCCCCUCCUCAGUCUCCGUCACCGCCCUUGCCUCCUUUCCUUCCGACGAGGAUCUCGGUCAAGGGUUCCAACGCAAACCCACGGCUUAAAUAGAAUCAUACAAUUAGUUCGAAUUGCAUAUCAAGAAUCUGGGUUACUCCUGCACUGUCUUUGAUCAAGCGGAGUGAAUAAUGUUUUGUAUGGUUUCUGUAUGAUGGAAAACAUCUCAGGCCAUCGAAUGCUAUUUUGUGGUGGAUAGUAGACAUUCAUUAAUGUGGAAGAUAAUACCUUUUUCUGUACACCAUUGAAAUGCUAGACAGAAAAGUGUGAAGCAAAUUAAGAGCUAUCAUCGUGUGUUGUCAUCUUCUGAACUGAAGAAUCAACCUUUCUAUGUACAAUAGUGAUCUUGGCGAAAAAAUCAUUAGAUGCCAACCAGAAUCUGCAACACAGAUGACACUUUCUAGAUUACCUAAAGCCCUACUCAUUGCUUCUUCGAGGCAGGAAAGUAUGGGUUUUUUAGCUUACUCAUCUUCCGUGCAGCACUUCCGCAGCAAAUAUUUGAAAUGGAGCAUGUUUGAUUAUUCAUCAUAGGGCGAUGUCAUUGACAACAAAGGAUGAAUGCAAUCUGCAAUGGCUCUCGCUUGAUCCCCAACGGAGAAAAACUAUUAUGGAUGUUGCCACAGAAGGGUAACCAAAGCUGAUGGAUAUCAUUGGUUGGGUUUGUCAAAGAGACGGAUGGUGACAUCGAGAAUACUGCUGGGGAUAUUUAUUUGGACGGAAUUUUCUGUAGCCUAUGCAUUAUCUGCUUGGACUUAUCCCAUGACACUGUAUCUUAUCCAUGACUCUCAUCAGCUGAAAGUAUCAGCUAUCUCUUCAUGCUGGGGAGACUCCACAUCCAAGUCCUAACAUGGCCAACACUGCCGUGCAAGGUAAUUGUGUUCUGAGGACAACUUAAUCCAUGAGAAAAACCAAUGAACACCUUAAUUCUCUCUUACCUUUUCUUGCUCUCAAACUUCUGACCUCUCCCUGUUCCUGAUCCAGAUAUGUCUUCGCACUACAGUGGUUUGGAUUCCCAGUUGUUUACUGGUUACCCUUGGCUGAAUUGGAGGGAUGAUGCAAUCAAGAAAAAUAUGACUAUUAAGGGAAAAGAGAAAUGUUGCGAAGUCUUAUAAUCUUGCUGUUUUCCAGGAUGUUGUCGAGUUCUUCUUGACCUGCAUGGUCGGAGCACCAAUCAAGAUGAAACAGACAAUUGAGACCUUUCAUUCUGGUGCUUUUGCCUGUAAUCCUUUAUACUUUGAUAAAUUGAAAUGGUUUGUCGCCAUUUAGAAGA